UACGUAGGGAGCGAGCGUUGUCCGGAUUCAUUGGGCGUAAAGAGCUCGUAGGCGGCUUGAUAAGUCGGAUGUGAAACCUCCAGGCUCAACCUGGAGUCGCCAUCCGAUACUGUCAUGGCUAGAGUCCGGUAGGGGCCCACGGAAUUCCUGGUGUAGCGGUGAAAUGCGCAGAUAUCAGGAGGAACACCGGUGGCGAAGGCGGUGGGCUGGGCCGGCACUGACGCUGGAGGAGCGAAAAGCGUGGGGGAGC
rnacentral:rRNA from 1 species